UACGUAGGGUGCGAGCGUUGUCCGGAAUUAUUGGGCGUAAAGGGCUCGUAGGCGGCUUGUCGCGUCGGGAGUGAAAACUCAGGGCUUAACCCUGAGCCUGCUUCCGAUACGGGCAGACUAGAGGUAUGCAGGGGAGAAUGGAAUUCCUGGUGUAGCGGUGAAAUGCGCAGAUAUCAGGAGGAACACCAGUGGCGAAGGCGGUUCUCUGGGCAUUACCUGACGCUGAGGAGCGAAAGUGUGGGGAGCGAACAGG
rnacentral:rRNA from 1 species